CCUACGGGAGGCAGCAGUGAGGAAUAUUGGUCAAUGGCCGGAAGGCUGAACCAGCCAUGCCGCGUGAAGGUCAGUGCCCUAUGGGCGUUAAACUUCUUUUGUGCGGGAGCAAUAAUGGUCACGUGUGGCCAGACGAGAGUACCGUACGAAUAAGAAUCGGCUAACUCCGGGCCAGCAGCCGCGGUAAUACGGGGGAUGCAAGCGUUAUCCGGAUUUAUUGGGUUUAAAGGGUGCGUAGGCUGGGAGGUAAGUCAGCGGUGAAAUGCCCCCGCUCAACGGGGUGAAGUGACAUUGAUACUGGCUUGCUUGAAUGCGGAUGCGGUGGGAGGAAUGUGUGGUGUAGCGGUGAAAUGCAUAGAUAUCACACAGAACACCGAUUGCGAAGGCAUCUCACGAAUCCGCGAUUGACGCUGAUGCACGAAAGCGUGGGUAUCAAACAGGAUUAGAUACCCGGGUAGUC
rnacentral:rRNA from 1 species